UCCCGCGUGGCACAAUUGGUCAGCGCGUUCGGCUUUUAACCGAAAGGUUAGGAGUUCGAGCCUCCUCGUGGGAG
rnacentral:tRNA from 1 species